UGCCUCAGCCUUCCAAGUAGCUGGGGCCACAGAUGCCUGGGAGUGGAAUUGUUGGGUUAUAUGCAGAUUCUGCGUUGCAUUGAGGAAACGCCAAACUUUUCCAUAGCGGCUGCACCGUUUUACAUUCCCACUGACUGUCAGUGCCUCGAGCUGUCAGCACCAUGGACAGGCUGGAGUGCGGUGGUGCGAUCACGGCUUACUGCAGCUUUG